UACAGAGGUCUCAAGCGUUGUUCGGAUUCAUUGGGCGUAAAGGGUGUGUAGGUGGCGCCGUAAGUCGGGUGUGAAAUUUCGGAGCUUAACUCCGAAACUGCAUUCGAUACUGCGGUGCUUGAGGACUGGAGAGGAGACUGGAAUUCAUGGUGUAGCAGUGAAAUGCGCAGAUAUCAGGAGGAACACCAACGGCGAAGGCAGCUCGCUGGGACGGAACUGACGCUAAGGCGCGAAAGCGUGGGGAGCGAACAGG
rnacentral:rRNA from 1 species